rnacentral:rRNA from 1 species
UACGUAGGGUGCGAGCGUUAAUCGGAAUUACUGGGCGUAAAGAGUGCGUAGGCGGUUCGUUAUGUCUGCUGUGAAAGCCCCGGGCUUAACCCGGGAAUGGCAGUGGAAACUGGCGGGCUUGAGUGUGGCAGAGGGGGGUGGAAUUCCGCGUGUAGCAGUGAAAUGCGUAGAGAUGCGGAGGAACACCGAUGGCGAAGGCAGCCCCCUGGGCCAACACUGACGCUCAGGCACGAAAGCGUGGGGAGCAAACAGG